ACUAGAAAGCUAUUAGUUAUACUAGUAGAGAAUUUAAAGGAGAAUUCUCUUGGGGUGUACUUUAACUUUUGGGCAUGUGUGAAAGUUAAAUAUUUUGUAGUGUGGUUGUAAUAAUUUUCCACAUAGUAAAUAUUUAUUCUCUUGGUUGUUUUUUACAACGCUUGUGGUUUUUUUCCAUUUGGGAGUUUUCCACGUUAAAUUAUUGUGUUUUUCUCUCUUUUAUUUUUCAAGUAUUUUUGUUAUUGUUGUGAUCUAAAGGGAUUGUUGGAUUACAAGAGGUCUAUUUUCCUAACAAUUUUUGGGGCAUACUUGAAGGCUUACGUAGUGCGGUCUUCCGGUUUAGUGGUUACAAUGUCAAACUGACUGUGGGAAAGCAUUCAAACUUGUUACGUCGCCUAUUGCUCAUUUGAGCCCUCUCGCUCUUGUCCGAGCUAUAUCUCAAUUUACUUCCAAGGUAUGGUUCGUUGAAUUUAUCUUGAUUCGUCACGGAGUAAACUUCCCUGCUGAUUUUUUGGCAAAGGUGCCUCCCUCCAUCAAUGGAGAUUUUGUUAAGCAGUUAGUUUGUUUGUGGAACUUCAAUUACUUAACGGCACAGCGGAGAUUUUGGCACCGAAUUGUGCCCCCAAUUGUGGAACACUUUCCCUCAUCGCUUCAAGUUCGCCGUUUUCACUUGGCAUGGUGCUACAAUUGAGAUUGAUGGUGAUACUGAAACCGAUUAUACAGCUGAUGAGACACCUAUGAACAGUUACGUGAAUUUACAUGCUGUACUAGAAGUAAGAAGAAACCGUGCUAAAGCUUCGUUUCCGGAUGAUUCCGAGGCAUCCCAGGUAUUCUUAUCGACCAAGAGUGAUUAUUGUGGGGCCUCCAGAUUCUGGGAAGAGCAGCUUAUCGAGGAUGCUUCUUAGUUGGGCAGCUAAACUAGGUUGGAAACCUACCUUUGUGGAUUUAGACAUAAGUCAAGGGGAUACAUUGAACUAGCUAAAUUUGUACCAGUUGUUUUACAGGGGAUACAUGAAC